GUUUAUUCUGCAAAGUAAUUAAUAUUGAAAGUAUUAGAUAUUUCCUUAUUUUUAUAUUUAUAUUAUAGUAUAAUAAUAUACGAUAUUAGUUAAAUGUUCUAAGGAGUCAAGCCUGUGUUGCAAAAAAUAGUUUUGAUAGAAAGUUAUCAACAAAUUACUCAAACCGUUGUGAUUGUUUGUUUAUCAAUGUCUUAAAAUAAUUUAAAAGAGGUGCAAAAAUUCAAUCAAAUUCAAAUUGCCGCUUGAACAUACUGCGCUAAACUGUGAGGGCUAAGAAGAUCACUGUUUUACAAAUUUAGAGCAUUUCUAUUCUGUGAACAGCUGUCUGCUAUUCAAGGGUCUGGUAUAGUUAUCAAUUUGAAAAUGUCAAUUUGCUGUACCAGUCACUAAUAUUAAUAUAAACAACCUAAGAGAAUCAGAUAAGUAUAAUAGACUAGAUAAAUACUUUCAUAUUUUAUAAAAAUGUUUGCUUUGUGUAUUUAUUUUUUAUUUUAGGUGUACGUAUUACCAAGAGGGAUAUUUAUGUAUGUCAACUCUCUGAGAGGUUAAUUUACUGUAUACUUUUGUGCUUACAGACUGUAUACAUAUAUUGAAUAUAAUAACACUUCAAGAGAUGGUUAUACAACAAAAUAUUGCAUCCGGGUAUCUAGAAAUACUGAUGAGUCAAAGCAAUUUAAUCCAGUUUUGACCCUUUAACAUAACAAUUAAUUAAGUACUUACAUCACGAUUUGUUACAUCCUUCAAAAAUGUUGAUAAAAGUAAACCAUUGGGAAGAUCCGGAUCAGAAUCAUGAUUUUCAUAACUCAGCGAUUCAUCAGUGUUAUCAGUGGUUCCAAAAGUCUGAAUGUACUUUAACAAAAUUUGAUUAGAACUUUCUUGUUUUUUUGAUUUUUUUUAAUGCCUACAAAAAUUAUAAUAGAGUAAAAAUGUAUUCAAUGUAAAUGAUAUCAAUAAAAUUAAUUAUUAAUCAA